CAGCCGCCGCGGUAAAACGUAGGUGGCAAGCGUUGUCCGGAAUUAUUGGGCGUAAAGGGCUCGCAGGCGGUUCCUUAAGUCUGAUGUGAAAGCCCCCGGCUCAACCGGGGAGGGUCAUUGGAAACUGGGAAACUUGAGUGCAGAAGAGGAGAGUGGAAUUCCACGUGUAGCGGUGAAAUGCGUAGAGAUGUGGAGGAACACCAGAGGCGAAGGCGACUCUCUGGUCUGUAACUGACGCUGAGGAGCGAAAGCGUGGGGAGCGAACGGGAUUAGAUACCCCGGUAGUCCCUGUCUCUUAUAC
rnacentral:rRNA from 1 species